ACUCCUACGGGAGGCAGCAGUGGGGAAUAUUGCACAAUGGGGGAAACCCUGAUGCAGCGACGCCGCGUGAAGGAUGAAGUAUUUCGGUAUGUAAACUUCUAUCAGCAGGGAAAAAAAUGACGGUACCUGACUAAGAAGCCCCGGCUAACUACGUGCCAGCAGCCGCGGUAAU
rnacentral:rRNA from 1 species